rnacentral:rRNA from 1 species
CGGGGUAAGUAACGCGUGGGUAACCUGCCUCAUACAGGGGGAUAACGAUUGGAAACGAUUGCUAAUACCGCAUAAGCGCACAGUACCACAUGGUACAGUGUGAAAAACUCUGGUGGUAUGAGAUGGACCCGCGUCUGAUUAGUUAGUUGGUGAGGUAACGGCCCACCAAGGCAACGAUCAGUAGCCGACCUGAGAGGGUGACCGGCCACAUUGGGACUGAGACACGGCCCAG